AGCGAACGCUGGCGGCGUGCCUAACACAUGCAAGUCGAACGUGAAAAGGGAAACCUGAGUAAAGUGGCGUACGGGUGAGUAACGCGUAGGUAAUCUACCCCAGAAUCUGGAAUAACCUGCCGAAAGGCGGGCUAAUACUGGAUAGAGCGAGGGAACUCGUAAGAGAGUUUUUCGGGAAAGGGAGCCCGCAAGGGCCUUCGUUCUGGGAUGAGCCUGCGUCUCAUUAGCUAGUUGGUAAGGUAACGGCUUACCAAGGCGAUGAUGAGUAGCUGGUCUGAGAGGUUAACCAGCAAACCGGGAACUGAAACCCGGUCCAGACUCCUACGGGGGGCAGCAGGGGGGAAUCUUGCGCAAUGGACGAAAGUCUGACGCAGCCACGCCGCGUGAGGGAAAAAGGCCUUCGGGUUGUAAAGCUCUGUCGGAGGGGAAGAACAUCUUCAAAGGGAAUAGCUAGGGGGACGGACGGUACCAAAAAAGGAAGCCCCGGCUAACCCCGU
rnacentral:rRNA from 1 species